rnacentral:tRNA from 1 species
CUCGGUGUAGCUCAGUGGAAGAGCGGCGAGCUUCUAACUCGCAUGGCGCAGGUUCGAAUCCUGCCACCGAGA